AGUGAACGCUGGCGGUAGGCCUAACACAUGCAAGUCGAACGGCAGCACAGUAAGAGCUUGCUCUUACGGGUGGCGAGUGGCGGACGGGUGAGGAAUACAUCGGAAUCUACUUUUUCGUGGGGGAUAACGUAGGGAAACUUACGCUAAUACCGCAUACGACCUACGGGUGAAAGCAGGGGAUCUUCGGACCUUGCGCGAUUGAAUGAGCCGAUGUCGGAUUAGCUAGUUGGCGGGGUAAAGGCCCACCAAGGCGACGAUCCGUAGCUGGUCUGAGAGGAUGAUCAGCCACAUUGGAACUGAGAAACGGUCCAGACUCCUACGGGAGGAAGCAGUGGGGAAUAUUGGACAAUGGGCGCAAGCCUGAUCCAGCCAUACCGCGUGGGUGAAGAAGGCCUUCGGGUUGUAAAGCCCUUUUGUUGGGAAAGAAAAGCAGCAGGUUAAUACCCCGCUGUUCUGACGGUACCCAAAGAAUAAGCACCGGCUAACUUCGUG
rnacentral:rRNA from 1 species